rnacentral:rRNA from 1 species
AAAUUGAAGAGUUUGAUCAUGGCUCAGAUUGAACGCUGGCGGCAGGCCUAACACAUGCAAGUCGAACGGUAACAGGAAGCAGCUUGCUGCUUCGCUGACGAGUGGCGGACGGGUGAGUAAUGUCUGGGAAACUGCCUGAUGGAGGGGGAUAACUACUGGAAACGGUAGCUAAUACCGCAUAAUGUCGCAAGACCAAAGAGGGGGACCUUCGGGCCUCUUGCCAUUGGAUGUGCCCAGAUGGGAUUAGCUUGUUGGUGGGGUAACGGCUCACC